rfam:Triticum aestivum genome assembly, contig: Triticum_aestivum_CS42_TGACv1_scaffold_471845_6AL
CUUGUACUCCCUCCGUCCGAAAAUACUUGUCAUUGAAAUGGAUGUAUCUAGAUGUAUUUUAGUUCUAGACACAUCCAUUUUGAUGACAAGUCAUUCCGAACGGAGGGAGUAGUUG